CUGGGGCCUCUGUCUGCACUUUCCCAGGAGAGGGCAGCCUCCGGACCAAACCAGAACCGAGCCCAGGGGAGCAGCGCCAUCCUGGGAGAUGCCACCCCAGGCUGGUGCACCUGCCAGGGUGGGAGGUCAGCAGGGUUUAGCAGGCACUGAGCACAGGGCCCUACGUGAUCUCAUUUUGCUCUCAAGCCACCGGGUGAGCAUUGGUCAAGACCCCAGACUCUGUGAAGAGGAAAUACGAAUUGGACCUCAACCUUCCCUGAAAGUAGAGACACCUCUCGGCCAGAUGCUCUCAGCAUCUUCCUUCAAUCCUGCACCCCGAUCUGAGCACCCCCCAACCCCCAAGGCCCUGGUAAAGUCAACAAAUCUCCCUCCCAAUUUCAUCGAUUCAGGCCAACAACAAGAUGCUUGCUCAGUGCGAAAGGCAUGAAACACUCAGAUUUA